GACAGAGGGUGCAAACGUUGUUCGGAAUUACUGGGCGUAAAGCGCGUGUAGGCGGCUAAGUAAGUCGGGCGUGAAAUUCCAGGGCUUAACCUUGGGGGCUGCGUUCGAGACGGGGUGUCUUGAGUGGGGAAGAGGGUCGUGGAAUUCCCAGUGUAGAGGUGAAAUUCGUAGAUAUCGGGAGGAACACCGAGUGCGAAGGCGGCUACCUG
rnacentral:rRNA from 1 species